rnacentral:pre_miRNA from 1 species
UACAUCCGUCACUUUGAGUUUUUAUCUGUAACGUUUGAUGAUUCGUCUUAUUUAAAAAACUAUGAAAUUAUUAUUUAUUUUGUUUGUAACUUGCUUUAUUAUCAAAAGUGCUUUAAGUAUGACUUAUCUUUUUUUAUAUUUGCACUAAUUUUUUAAAUAAGACGAAUGGUCAAAUGUUGCAAGUAAAAAGUCAAAGCGACCACUAAU